AAGAAAGUAAAUUUACUGCUGUUAUAUUCUCUUUGAUUUACUAUAGUUUCGUCGAAAAUGUGUUUAAAUUUCAUGUAGAUUAAACCCAAACUGGUCUUGUUGGUAGGGUUGUUUGCAAUAUUUUUUAUAACUGUCGGUUGUGACACUUAAAUUUUAUUAAUUCCUUUGCGGUAAGAUACUGAGAACGUUGUUCUGGUAGUAACAUCACAGCUAGUGCGUAGAUUGCCUGCACAGGUGUUGACGGUGUUAGACCAAGAUUUCUUCUUAACAUCUGAUUUUGAAAAGUUGUAAGUUUUUUGUUCAAAUACGUUGGCAUGUGAGCCAUUGAAGAAAUACAAUACUCUGUGUUUAAUUUAGAUUGGUAAUUAUUGUUUUGUAACGUUAACAAUGGGUUAACGCAUAAUUAAUUUGUAAAUGAUUAACCUCGUUUAGAUCUGUCAACAUAAAUGUAAACAGAUUUCAACGAAUGGCGAAUGGCGCCAAAGCCUCCACCUUCCUUCAUGUCUUGAUCGUUGGUUUUUUUACACUCGUCUCUUCUAUCUCUCGAUACGAAGUCGCGCUCCCCCGCUAUUGUGCAAAUCAGGUAAUCUGUCUUACCACUUAUUAUUAUUUAUUAUUAUUAUUAAUAAAUACGGCCUUUGCCAUUAUUCUUAAAACUAAAACCCCCCUAUUGUGUUUUUAUUCUAUUUUGUUUGGUUGAGCUUUGCAUCUUUCCCCGCAUUGGCGCAAACAUUGGUCCAUUCGUACCGGAUUACGAACGAGCUGUUGGUAGAAGAAGUAAUCGUUUUCUUCUUUUUUUCUUUAAUUGCAAAACUAAACAUCAUCAUCACCAUCAAUACAGUCCACCACAUCAUCUUCUUAUCAUCAUCAUCGUGUUUCCAUUAAGAACAAACAGUAUGUCGGUGAAAAUCUAUUCGGAAGAAGAACUUUUGAAUGUUGAUGACGGUUUUGAUUACACUGAACCUCGGCCCACCGAUCCCCAAGCUGGAAUGUCGUCAGCUGCAGUGGAAGCAGCCCUUGUUGAGCCGAUCGCGGCUGUAAAAAUCUCAGAACGUGGGUCCGAAUCCGAUAAAGCGGAUUCAUCUGCGGCCCUCGCUGAACCGAAUCCAUAGCAACGGAUUCAUCUGCGGCUCCGGUUCUUGAUUCACCCCCCAAAAAUGAUACAUUACAAACCGAGUCCGGAUCUUCGGGUCCAUCUGCGGCUCCGGUUGCCACACCUCAUUUGGAGGAGUCGGAAAAGAAUUUAAAGUCCGAAACCCAUAAGGUUGCAUCUGCGGCCUCACAUAAAUGUCGACUUUGUGAUCGCAUGCACCCGCUGGAUAGAUGUAGUGACUUCCGGGUUAUGAAUGUUCACAUGCGACGUCGCAUUGUCCUAAAAUACAAU